GAGACUACGGCGGCCGCGCAGCUCCGUCUAACUCCAGCCUUGCGCUCCGAGCUGCCGUCCACAGGCGCCUUCGCCCCGCCCAGCUUAGCUUCGAGCCAGCCGGCCAGGCCUGCGCAGUCGCGGCGGCCGGGGAAGAUGGUGGAGGACGGCGCGGAGGAGCUGGAGGACCUGGUGCACUUCUCCGUGUCCGAGUUGCCUAGUCGCGGCUACGGCGUCAUGGAGGAGAUCCGGCGGCAGGGCAAGCUGUGCGACGUGACGCUCAAGAUUGGGGACCACAAAUUCAGUGCUCACCGGAUCGUCUUAGCAGCCUCAAUCCCGUAUUUCCACGCUAUGUUUACAAAUGACAUGAUGGAGUGCAAGCAGGAUGAGAUUGUAAUGCAAGGAAUGGACCCAAGCGCCCUGGAAGCUCUGAUCAACUUUGCCUACAACGGUCACCUUGCCAUUGACCAGCAAAACGUCCAGUCGUUGCUGAUGGGGGCGAGUUUCCUGCAGUUGCAGAGCAUCAAAGACGCCUGCUGCACAUUCCUCCGAGAACGGCUUCACCCCAAAAACUGCCUGGGUGUACGCCAGUUUGCUGAGACCAUGAUGUGUGCCGUGCUAUACGACGCGGCCAACAGCUUCAUCCACCAGCACUUUGUGGAGGUGUCCAUGUCGGAAGAGUUCCUGGCCCUGCCCGUGGAAGACGUGCUUGAGCUGGUGUCUCGGGAUGAGCUGAACGUGAAAUCAGAGGAGCAGGUCUUUGAGGCCGUGUUGGCCUGGAUCAGAUACGACCGGGAGCAGAGGGGACCCUGCCUGCCUGAGCUGCUGUCCAAUAUCCGCCUGCCCCUCUGCCGGCCCCAGUUCCUGUCAGACCGAGUGCAGCAGGAUGACCUGGUGCGUUGCUGCCACAAAUGCAGGGACCUGGUGGAUGAAGCAAAGGACUAUCACCUCAUGCCAGAGCGCCGGCCCCACCUGCCAGCUUUCAGAACUCGGCCUCGCUGCUGCACAUCUAUCGCUGGGCUCAUCUAUGCCGUGGGGGGCCUCAACUCAGCAGCAAAUUUUUAUGCAGGUGAUUCCCUGAAUGUGGUGGAAGUGUUCGACCCCAUCGCCAAUCGCUGGGAGAAGUGCCAUCCCAUGACCACAGCCCGCAGCCGUGUCGGUGUGGCCGUGGUGAAUGGACUCCUCUAUGCCAUCGGGGGGUAUGACGGCCAGCUGCGGCUGAGCACUGUGGAGGUCUACAACCCAGAGACGGACACGUGGACCCGAGUGGGGAGCAUGAAUAGCAAGAGAAGUGCCAUGGGGACGGUCGUGCUGGACGGGCAGAUCUACGUCUGUGGUGGCUAUGAUGGCAACUCUUCUCUCAACUCUGUGGAGACCUACUCACCUGAGACGGACAAGUGGACUGUGGUGACCCCGAUGAGCUCCAAUCGCAGUGCUGCAGGGGUUACAGUCUUUGAGGGCAGGAUAUACGUGUCAGGCGGCCAUGACGGUUUGCAGAUCUUCAAUAGUGUGGAGCACUACAACCACCACACAGCCACCUGGCACCCGGCGGCCGGCAUGCUCAACAAGCGCUGCCGGCACGGAGCUGCAUCCCUGGGAAGCAAGAUGUUUGUGUGCGGGGGCUACGACGGCUCGGGCUUCCUCAGCAGCGCCGAGGUGUACAGCUCUGUGGCAGACCAGUGGUGCCUGAUAGUCCCCAUGCACACACGCCGGAGCCGGGUCUCCCUGGUGGCCAGCUGUGGGCGGCUCUACGCCGUGGGGGGCUACGACGGACAGUCGAACCUGAGCUCGGUGGAGAUGUACGACCCAGACACGGACCGCUGGACGUUUAUGGCCCCCAUGGCAUGUCACGAGGGAGGGGUCGGUGUGGGCUGCAUCCCUCUCCUCACCAUCUAAGGCGAAGGGUGGGAUGUGGUGGAGUAGGGAUCUGGUACAAACACAGGCACUUCCUUCCAGGGUUAGUCCCCCUCGGAAGAGGUGGUGGACCAGAAGACAGGGUGAAAUGUGAGCUCGCCAGCGGUACAGUUUUCCAGGUGCUUAAGUCCUCCCUCCCUGUGCAGCCCUUGUGACCUUCAGGCCUAGGUCAUCAAGAUGCACAGCGUGGGACAGAAGCCCCUCUGGGUCCCGCAGCUGGUGACACAGGACUGCUUUGCUGGUCCACAUGUCCACAGGCUCCAUCCAAGCCCAGCUCCCACCUGCCACAGCUCUGUGGGUCGCCCAUCUGCAGAGUGUCUUCCAUCUGACACUCCUUGCCUACUGCUUGCCAGGUGUGUUGUGGCCAGUUUGCGAUGGGGUGGCUUCAGUGGCCAAGCGUGUUGGAAACUGUGGGGUGUGGGUGGGAGAGGAGGGACACAGGCCGGGUUGUCCUCACUGCGAGGCUGCAGCCAUGGCAGUGCUGGUUGCACACACGCACCUCCUCCUUCCAUCCGAGCGCACCGAGAAUUUUGUCUGCAUUGCUGAGUAAGCACGAAGAACAGAAGCUUUUCCUGUGUCUAAUUUUGGGAUUUCAGCGAGGUCUUUUUCAUCUUGUUCAGGAGAAACAGAGGGAGAGGAUAAAAGAUACUUGAAAGAAACUGAAGGAAAGUUAAAGAAGCACUUGAAAGAAACUGAAAAGAAAAAUAAUUUUUUAAAGUGAACAUUUUUUUGCAAGAAGAAAACAUAAAAGACACUAGAGGCAAAUAUGUGUUUAAAUGGAAAACCACCCAACGUGAAAAGGGUGGUAUCCGCUCCCACAUUCGGAUCCCAGGGUCCUAAGGCCUCGCAUGGCACUCGGGGUUCCCUCUGAGCCCCUGUGUGUCCAGAAUCAGUGCACACUCGACCAGUCCUGUAGCAAGGUGCUCGUGGGGUUUGUCUUCACACCCACUAUCAGAGGACUUUUUUAAUCGUAGGCUUAGCGAGUUGGCUAAGUUAUUGCCACUCUUCUAGGUGGGAGCUCCCAGCUUGUCGCUGGAGGCUCCAGAUGCCCCUGUGGUUAUCUCCCACUGCCACCAUGGCACUCAUGCAGAUUCCCACCCCACUUUCAUUCCUUCCUUAUUUGACCAGCAGGAAACAGCAGGUCUGGCCAGAUUCUCAUUUGCCCAUCUAUCAUUCUUGGAUAAUUUUCUUCAUCGUGAUGCUUCUGAGGUACAUUGACCAUUUGUACCUCUAGAACCUAACCAGAGACUUGGUCCUUCCACCAGCCACGGCUGGCUUGGUCCAGUAACCAUAUCUACCCUGCCAGUCCGCUGCUCCUCCAUCCACUCGCCAAUUCCAGGGGUCUGGUCUCCCCUCCAGCCCUUGGCAGACUGACCAGCAAGGUGGACCUUUAUAUUCUAGCAAAGCUGGCUUUAUGACGUAAAGAACUAAAAGCUGAAAGAAUCUCUUGCUGCUGCAAAGAACAGAUUUUAUAUUUCUUCCUAUGAUCUUAGCUAAUGACCUCUUGAAGAGACUCCAUGCUCCUCCUUCCUCCUCCCUGGAUGGGACCUUGAUGCUGCACAGUGGGACCCCAACAGGAGGACUCUUCUCUUACCAGUGCACUGGGCAGUGGAGCUGUCCUUCAACUGCUGCUGCCAAAAUUUGGUUUUCCAAAAUUCUUCCAGUAGAGACUAAAAGAGGAUACAUUUCCAAUGCAAGAUUGGGUCUCAGGGUCCCAAUCUCUACUUGGUUGGUCUGCCCAUCGCUGCCUGCCUGGGUGUCCUGGAAGCCUGUUCAGAAAGGCACGAUGUGACACCUGAGACGUCUCUCCUACCCUGGGACUGUGAGGUUUACCAGUGUGUGCAAUCGCCAUGUUUCCAGAGGGAAGUACUUUUGUUACCUGCCACUUAGGAGCUGGGCCUCUGCUAAAAGCACUUGAAAAUGAUGUUUUUAUUUUAAAAGACUUAACAAUCUGAUAUAGUUGAGCCUGGGCUUGUGGUAGAGCUCUGGCAUUUCUCGCUCCCUGUCGGUUUGCCUGUUAGAGGUAGACUUGGAAGGAGGGUGGGGUCUGUUAUUCCUGUUAGAGAGGCGUUAUCAGUGCUUGUCUUCUUAUUAUAAGCCCCUUUCUUUUGUGAAUUUGCAACAGCACUGACAAACCUGGGUUGUGAAUGUGUUAAGAAUCAACCAGUGGACCUCACCAGGUCCUUAGGAUGCUGACCCAGAUUUUGCCAUUGGGGUUGAGAGAUCAUUUUCCCAUGAUCUGCUGCUCUUGUGAUAGCCUUCCUACAUCUACUCCCACCUCCUGGUGUAGAAGUUACACUGCUCCACCUGGGGUCAGUGUUUCCAAGUAAGGUGAAGCCAGUGCCUUGAUCUGGGCUCUGAGCACAAGUGAGCAAACACUAACAUUUUCACACUCUCCACAGUUGGUUCCUCAGUCUGACGGUGAUGACUGUUUACAGGUGGCUGGUCUGACCCUUUGAUGUUGGAGCCUUUCCAGUAAAACCAUGAAAAGAAGAGAUGCCACCCAUAGGUAUUGUGAAAAGGGUAUAGGGCAGAUACUGUGGACAGUGAACCUUGGGGUCCGGCCCAGCUCUGAGCAGAGGACUGUGGCAUUCGCUGUCCUAGGGUAUUUCCCCUUAGAUAACACAAGGAACCUUCUCUUCUGGGUUUCAUCCGAGAGCAAAGCCAGGAUGGGAGCUGAAGUCCAGCCUUUUGACUUGGCCACAGAGAUGUGAGUAGUAUCGUCAAGAAUUGAGACCAGAUCUCCACAUUCACAGUCCAGUUCACCUGAGGAAAGCAGUGUCUUCGUCCUCUGGAACAGCUGAUUCAUCCAGCCUCCAUGCCCCGAGUGUGGAGGUCUGCUGCCCAGUACUGUGAUGGCCUUCGAGAAGCAGACUGAGCAGCGAGAGAAAGAGAAGAACCCUGUUUGGAUUAUGGAAACAGACUCUCAAUUCUGUUUCAUCGAUCUCUAUGCCUGUCCCUGAGCCAAUACCACACUGAUUGUAUGCUACUGAGUUUUCCAGCUUUAAAGAACUUAUUUUCAUCUCAGCAUUGUUUACAGCAAUUUCAAAGCAAAACAAAAUGGAAACAACUUCGACAGCAGGAGUGACUUAAAUAAAUGGAGGUCUAACCACCCAAUGGAGAAUUACACAGAAAAAAACAUGGGGUGAGUCAAUAGUGACGGAAGUGUGUUAGCUGACAGGUUAAAUGAGAAUAAGCUGGUUGUAAAAUGGGCCGUAAAAUGACUGUGAAGUCAUUUUUUCUUUUAAAAAUAAAACUCACAUUGUACCUGUAUGUAUGAGGAAUGAAAUUUGAUUCCUGCAGCUAUUUAGAUGUUGCCCUAGAGGUCUGUUCACCCAUUGUGUUCCCACCCCCAACCCCCAGUGAAUUUUUCCUUCUCGGUCUUGCUUCUGUGGGCCUGAAGACGUUCAGAAGCUGCCAAGGCCAAGAGGCUGAGCUGUAUUUGGAGCCUUGAUACCAUCUCAGGGCCUGAUAGUGUCUGGGCUAUGAGAAUACAGCAGAGUGGCCCCAGGAGAGCCUCGUGGCUGAUCCUACAGGCCUGCCCUCUUGCGGGGUACAGCAUGAUGGGCCUUGUGUAAUGUGGCAUUGACCACCAUAGAUGAGCCUUGAGCUUCCUGGGAGAAGUUGCUCAGCCCGUUAGUGUCCAGAACCCCCUAGAAGACCUGGAUGAGACCUGGAAGUACUCUUUCGGGGUGGGGGUCAGGCAAGGGAGUGAUAUGUGGUGGUGUGCCUGCGGUGCUGGUGCCUUCUGCUCUCUGCAGGAGCUAGAAGUGACCUUCUCCAGCUGAACAUCAUUGUCCCACCAUGGGGAGAGGGUCUGGGGUCUAGUUUAUCCUGCUCAGCCCAAACCUGCCCAUUUCCCACCCCAGGGUUGCUCCCUGCAGCAUCCCCCACCCCCUCUUGCCCACCAGUGGGGCUACCUGAGAUUUAGGUGGCAAGGGAGUUGGAGUGUGGACUAUGGGCAAGUUAACCAAUUUCCUUGAGGCUUAGUUUUCUCACUAAAAGUUGCAGGUGAUGCAUGCAGCUUGCAACGCAUUUCUGAGACCUGAGAAGUGUAUUCCCAUUCACUGUAUGGGAAGUGGCAUUCAUAAAUCGUGGCUAUUAUUAUCAUUAAUGGAGAGGAGUCCUUGGCUUUCCUGGGAUAAUUACUAAAAAACCCAUUUCCCCAAGGGGCUCUACACCAUGGCCCCUCAAAUGAGAGUUUCCCACAGAUAUUUCUGUAGCAAAGACUUGAAAAAGGAGCCUACUAGUUAGAAGACAAGGGCAUUCAUCCAUUCAACAAGUAUUUACUGAGCAACUACAGUGUGUCAGGCCCUGUUCUCAGGGCUGGAUGUAUCAGGAACCAAGGCCAGAGUUUGCUGGUGGACCAGAUGUGGCUGUGAAAGACAGCAGAGAGCCAGAUGCUCAGGUGCUUGGAUGGAGGCUGCCAUCAGCUGGGCUGGGGUGGGCUGUAGAAGGGUGGUUUGGAGGGAAGAUACUGUGUGGCACACCUUGGACAUCCAUGGGGAGGCGUCCAGGAGGCAAUCUGAAAUGCGAGUCUGGGGUUCAGGGAGAGGUUCUGGCUGGAGCUUAGAUAAAGAAGGAAGCAUAAAGGAAUGAAAGGUGGUUGAGGAGGCUGGGGGCAGAUUACUCUGCCUUCUUGAGCUUCCAGGAAAGCCCUUGGAUGCCCCCCCAACCCAUGUUUCUCUUCAUUGUCCCUGCCCUGACCUCAGGGAGUCUGUGUUCCCAUGAUGCACAGUGGAAUCACCCCCAGGACCUGUCUCAUUUGUCUCCUCACCCCAAGUCCAGCUGGCCCAGCUCUAACACCUUAUUCAUUCACAUUCAUGUAAUCAUUUAUUUUAGAAACGUUUUAUUGAGUUUCUCUCCUGUGGCUCUCACCAGAGAGUGGCCUGACCCCCUCUUGGAGGUACCUGGAUAUAUGAAGGGACAUUUAGUUGUCACAGUGACUGGGCAGGGAACAGGGGCACUCAGGGUCCUGCACAGAAGGAACUGCCCUCCCAGGAUUCAGGAGCACUUUGCUGAGAUAGUCAUUCCCCAGCCACCUGCAGCUGGCUGAGGAGGGCUCAGCUGUGAGUAAAUACAGUGCUACGGAGCCUGGGACACAGCAGGUAAUGCCAGGUAAUGGUUUGGGGAUCAUGAAUGCACAGAUGAGGGAAGGACACUUCUGCUGCCCAGGGAAGAGCAGAGAGGCUUCCUGGAGGAGGUGACUUUGGAGCUGUGCCUUAAAAGAUGAGCAGGAUUUACAGACACAGGAUGGGCAGGAAUUCCAGACAGAGGGAAGCAGGUAUGCGAAUGCAGAGGAGUAUGGGUGGGCUCAGACUGCAGGAAAGGGAGUGCUGAGGGCAGCAGAGGAAGAGAAUGGGUGGGAAUAAGAGGUUGUGGUGGGGUUGCAGGGCAUCCCUUCCCUUCCGCAGCCCUAGAAAUUCCUCAGCAUGUUGGUGAUGAUGUCGUGCUUGGCUUUCUCGUACAGGUCCCUGACUGCAUGUGGCAGUUGGGAGCUCUCAGUUCCUGGAGUGUCCACUCCAGGGGACCCAGCAGAACGCCUCACCCGGCGGACCUACAGAAGUGAUGCAGACGUGAUCACCCUCAUUGAUGGCCCCCUUUCCUGUCCUGCCUGUGGCCCCUCUCUCCAGGUGGGGAUGAGUGUGAGGCACCGGCAGUGAUGUUGGUGAUGGGGCUGGAGGUGGUCCCCAGUGAGGCCCUUCCACUCGGAGCCCAGAGGGCCUGGGAAGGCCUGAACUCUGCCGCUCACUUCCUCUCUGGCUAUUCCACUCACUUGCUAGGAGGCUGCACCUCCGGCUUCAGUUUUUCCAAAUGUGGGGUGUGGAGGAGGGUUCCCAGAGCUCAGGGCCCAGAGCAGAGCCAGUGUCCUGUGAAGUCUGAGCUCCCUCUCACCCCCAGGACGCCCCUUAGCCUCGACCACCAGUCUCUCCUCCCCACCCCUCCUGCCAAACGACUAGCAGUCAUCAAGGUCCAACCGCGCCUCACACUCCACAAGCCUUUCCCCUCCCGACGACUUGCGUUUAGAAGGGCUCGAUCGGCCCGGUUUCCAGAGGAGGAAACUGAGGCCCCACGCGCCGAAGUCAGUGGCCCGGGUGAGGGCCCUUCGGUCAUCGGCGGUCACCGGGCAGAGCGCCGCCCGCGACGGAAACAGACUGGGGCCAGCGCGGGCGCAGGGGCUCAUCUCCGGCUUGAGCUCGCGCUCGUGGUCCGGGUCCCCAGGGCAGUUGAGGGAUGGUUGAGGGACGGAAGGAUGUGCUGCAGCAUGAAGAAGAUGCCCGUGCAGUUCCGCUCUUCCUGCGGGUCAGUGAGCACAGGGGUGCGGUGGCCAACGUUCUUGCCCAGGUACACAGGCUCCCGAAGCCGGCGCCCUCCCUAAUCCUCCCCCCAGAGCCAGGCGGGAGCGGCGAACGCUGGGGGGACCCGGACGGGCUUCGUGAACGCCCAGUAAAAUUAAGGACUUUCAUGCAAGUUAUAUUAAACGGGAAAAGGCCUCCAAAAUUAGCCUCAGAGGAAGCUAUAUUUGUUUAAAACACUCGUGUGUACAUAAAAAAGAUACAGAAGAUGAUUCACCAACGGUUAAUGUUGUCUCCUCCUGGGUAGUGGGGUUGCAGGGGGUUUUUGUUUGUUUGUUUUUAGUUUGCUUCUCCACAUUUUGUUAAUUUGCUAUAAUAAAAUAUUAUUUUCCUAAUUUUAGAAAAA